GACGAACGCUGGCGGCGUGCUUAACACAUGCAAGUCGAACGGAAAGGCCCUGCUUUUGUGGGGUGCUCGAGUGGCGAACGGGUGAGUAACACGUGAGUAACCUGCCCUUGACUUUGGGAUAACUUCAGGAAACUGGGGCUAAUACCGGAUAGGAGCUCCUGCUGCAUGGUGGGGGUUGGAAAGUUUCGGCGGUUGGGGAUGGACUCGCGGCUUAUCAGCUUGUUGGUGGGGUAGUGGCUUACCAAGGCUUUGACGGGUAGCCGGCCUGAGAGGGUGACCGGCCACAUUGGGCCUGAGAUACGGCCCAGACUCCUACGGGAGGCAGCAGUGGGGAAUAUUGCACAAUGGGCGGAAACCUGAUGCAGCAACGCCGCGUGCGGGAUGACAGCCUUCGGGUUGUAAACCGCUUUCGCCUGUGACGAAGCGUGAGUGACGGUAAUGGGUAAAGAAGCACCGGCUAACUACGUG
rnacentral:rRNA from 1 species